UACCGUGGUGGCAUGCCUUACUCUGCAGUCGAACGGCAGCAUGAUCUAGCUUGCUAGAUUGAUGGCGAGUGGCGAACGGGUGAGUAAUACAUCGGAACGUGCCCUGUAGUGGGGGAUAACUAGUCGAAAGAUUAGCUAAUACCGCAUACGACCUGAGGGUGAAAGUGGGGGACCGCAAGGCCUCAUGCUAUAGGAGCGGCCGAUGUCUGAUUAGCUAGUUGGUGGGGUAAAGGCCCACCAAGGCGACGAUCAGUAGCUGGUCUGAGAGGACGAUCAGCCACACCGGGACUGAGACACGGCCCAGACUCCUACGGGAGGCAGCAGUGGGGAAUUUUGGACAAUGGGCGAAAGCCUGAUCCAGCAAUGCCGCGUGUGUGAAGAAGGCCUUCGGGUUGUAAAGCACUUUUGUCCGGAAAGAAAUGGCUCUGGUUAAUACCUGGGGUCGAUGACGGUACCGGAAGAAUAAGGACCGGCUAACUACGUGCCAGCAGCCGCGGUAAUACGUAGGGUCCAAGCGUUAAUCGGAAUUACUGGGCGUAAAGCGUGCGCAGGCGGUUGUGCAAGGCCGAUGUGAAAUCCCCGAGCUUAACUUGGGAAUUGCAUUGGUGACUGCACGGCUAGAGUGUGUUAGAGGGGGGUAGAAUUCCACGUGUAGCAGUGAAAUGCGUAGAGAUGUGGAGGAAUACCGAUGGCGAAGGCAGCCCCCUGGGAUAACACUGACGCUCAUGCACGAAAGCGUGGGGAGCAAACAGGAUUAGAUACCCUGG
rnacentral:rRNA from 1 species